GUUGCGAACGGGUGAGUAACGCGUAGGUAACCUGCCUUGUAGCGGGGGAUAACUAUUGGAAACGAUAGCUAAUACCGCAUAACAAUGGAUGACACAUGUCAUUUAUUUGAAAGGGGCAAUUGCUCCACUACAAGAUGGACCUGCGUUGUAUUAGCUAGUAGGUGAGGUAAUGGCUCACCUAGGCGACGAUACAUAGCCGACCUGAGAGGGUGAUCGGCCACACUGGGACUGAGACACGGCCCAGACUCCUACGGGAGGCAGCAGUAGGGAAUCUUCGGCAAUGGGGGCAACCCUGACCGAGCAACGCCGCGUGAGUGAAGAAGGUUUUCGGAUCGUAAAGCUCUGUUGUAAGUCAAGAACGGGUGUGAGAGUGGAAAGUUCACACUGUGACGGUAGCUUACCAGAAAGGGACGGCUAACUACGUGCCAGCAGCCGCGGUAAUACGUAGGUCCCGAGCGUUGUCCGGAUUUAUUGGGCGUAAAGCGAGCGCAGGCGGUUUGAUAAGUCUGAAGUUAAAGGCUGUGGCUCAACCAUAGUUCGCUUUGGAAACUGUCAAACUUGAGUGCAGAAGGGGAGAGUGGAAUUCCAUGUGUAGCGGUGAAAUGCGUAGAUAUAUGGAGGAACACCGGUGGCGAAAGCGGCUCUCUGGUCUGUAACUGACGCUGAGGCUCGAAAGCGUGGGGAGCGAACAGGAUUAGAUACCCUGGUAGUCCACGCCGUAAACGAUGAGUGCUAGGUGUUGGAUCCUUUCCGGGAUUCAGUGCCGCAGCUAACGCAUUAAGCACUCCGCCUGGGGAGUACGACCGCAAGGUUGAAACUCAAAGGAAUUGACGGGGGCCCGCACAAGCGGUGGAGCAUGUGGUUUAAUUCGAAGCAACGCGAAGAACCUUACCAGGUCUUGACAUCCCGAUGCUAUUUCUAGAGAUAGAAAGUUACUUCGGUACAUCGGUGACAGGUGGUGCAUGGUUGUCGUCAGCUCGUGUCGUGAGAUGUUGGGUUAAGUCCCGCAACGAGCGCAACCCCUAUUGUUAGUUGCCAUCAUUCAGUUGGGCACUCUAGCGAGACUGCCGGUAAUAAACCGGAGGAAGGUGGGGAUGACGUCAAAUCAUCAUGCCCCUUAUGACCUGGGCUACACACGUGCUACAAUGGUUGGUACAACGAGUUGCGAGUCGGUGACGGCGAGCUAAUCUCUUAAAGCCAAUCUCAGUUCGGAUUGUAGGCUGCAACUCGCCUACAUGAAGUCGGAAUCGCUAGUAAUCGCGGAUCAGCACGCCGCGGUGAAUACGUUCCCGGGCCUUGUACACACCGCCCGUCACACCACGAGAGUUUGUAACACCCGA
rnacentral:rRNA from 1 species